rnacentral:lncRNA from 10 species
CCAAGUCAUAGUGUGCCUGGGAGCAGGAAGCACAGAGAGCAAAGAAACAGGCUUAGACAUUGGCCGAAGUACUCCCUGGACCCAAUGACAAUGGGACUGCUAAGCCUAUUCUAGUCUGUCAUGUCCAAAAUGGGAAGGAUCAUUAGCUUUAAUAACCUGAUGCUCGGCCAGAUUUUUUUUUUUUUUUCUGAGACCUCGCCUCACAGGGAUGAAUCAGCCAGAAAUAUUUUGGGAUCUUGAGACAUUAAAUUUAUUUCCACUAGAGCAGUUAUCUGAUUUCUGUGAUUUGGAAAAGAAAGGAGAGAUCAGUGAAGAAUAAUAAACUUGGAAUCAGAAAAUCUGGGCUCAAAUCUAGGUAUUGCCAACAACUCACGGAAUAUUCUUAGUCCCCACACACAGAAAACGGAAGAUUGGUUUUGUUUUUAAUUUUUGUAGAGGCGUUCUGAAGUUUUAACAUUUUUAAACGGUGGAAUUAUUUCUUCCAGGGACUGAACCAAACUGAACAGUGAACCUAAAUGAAUAAAUAAACAGGAAGAAUGGGACCAUGACCAAAUGUUGCAACCGGAUCCAAAGUUUGAUGCCUUGGCAUCACUUGUUUGGUCAUUUGAAAUGCAAAUUCCUAGGCCGCGGGGGCGCCCCCCUCACCCCCGCCCCCCUUCACCUCCUGAAUCAAAACAGCCUUGUAAUACGACCUCAUUAAAGUUUGAGAAGCACUGCUCUAAUCUACUUAAUUUCUCUGUUUAAUAUGUGUACACAGAGAAUAAGGCUUAACUAUUUCCUUAGCUCCAGGGUAGUUUUGAAAGCCAGUGAGCCUGGCUCUACUUUAGUCGGAGAAGAAGAGGAGAGGGGAGUGGAGGGAGAGAGUCUUUUUUAUUAGUGUAAGGAUAGUAAAUGGGCAGUGAAAAAACUGAGGGUUUGCUAAUUUCUUUUGAGUUAGAUCUUUAUAUGGUUUCUUCCUCAAUUUCUGUGACGUGAACUUUCAGAUCCUGAGUCUGGGCUUCGAAAUAAAUAACACCAAGGAUUUUUAGGGUUACUUAAUUUAUUUGGUUUUCUCUCACUAAUGCAAAUGGUAAAGAAAUUAUUUUGAGAACUACAUGAUAGCUAAUUUUGUCAAACUCUUAACUCCACAGACGUAACAUUUUGCCUGGCAUUAAUUUUGAUUUUUAAUCUUCUUUCCUAAUAGCAAAUAACUCUCAUGAUUUUUAUUUUCUCAUUCUCUUUGCUUUCUGGUUAGUGGGUUGAAAUGACCAUAUGAACA